rnacentral:rRNA from 1 species
GCCAGACUCCUACGGGAGGCAGCAGUGGGGAAUAUUGGGCAAUGGGCGCAAGCCUGACCCAGCAACGCCGCGUGAAGGAAGAGGGCUUUCGGGUUGUAAACUUCUUUUGUCAGGGAAGAGUAGAAGACGGUACCUGACGAAUAAGCCACGGCUAACUACGCGCCAGCAGCCGCGGUAAUACGUAGGUGGCAAGCGUUGUCCGGAUUUACUGGGUGUAAAGGGCGUGUAGCCGGGUUGACAAGUCAGAUGUGAAAUCCUGCGGCUUAACCGCAGAACUGCAUUUGAAACUGUUGAUCUUGAGUAUCGGAGAGGCAGGCGGAAUUCCUAGUGUAGCGGUGAAAUGCGUAGAUAUUAGGAGGAACACCAGUGGCGAAGGCGGCCUGCUGGACGACAACUGACGGUGAGGCGCGAAAGCGUGGGGAGCAAACAGGAUUAGAUACCCGAGUA